GCACACAAUUGUUGGCACCCCACGCUGCUUACCCCAGUUCAUUCACUCCAUACAAACGCUCCUUGGGUCUAGGGGUGUGCUCAUCCUGGGCCAGUCUGCCAUUGGGAGGACAGGCCCAGGAGGAGGCCCACUUUGGUCUUGGAAGAGGGCUGGAGGCCAGGCGGACAGGGACUUCUAGCAUCCUGGUCACCUGGAAUGUGGUCUAGCAGGAGAGUCACUGACUGCAGAUGGGCAUAUCUUCUUGGCCCUGAAGACUCCUGUUCCAUAGGAACUGAUAGUGAAGGUGCUCAGUGUUUGUUGAAUGCAUAAAUGACCAAUGGAAAGAAGGAAGAAAAAAGAAGGAAGGAAGGAAGGAAUGAAGGAAGAAAGGAAGGACCAGAGAGAGGAACAAGACCCUCUGCUGAGCCAGCAGGUACAAAUCAGCUCACAGCCUGCAGAACAGAAACUGACAGCGCGUCAGAGACCUGCAUGACAGUCCUGGCUUCCACUCUGGCCUCUCAGUUUCCUCAUAUGUUCAGUGAGUUCAUCAUCCUUCUCACACAAUAAAGAUGAAGACCAACACCACCUGACAUUCGUUGAGUAUUUACUAGGGGCCAGGUGUUCUACUAAGUGUUUCCAAUUCAUAUUCUCAUUGAACCUCCACAACUACUCGAUGAAGAAGGCAUAAUCUCUGUCCCCAUUUUAUAGAUGAAGAAAGUGAAGUCUAGACAUAACUUACCUGCCCAAUGUCACACAGCUGGGAGUUUGCCAAAUUAAGAUCCAAAUCAUGAUUUUUUUUAAAUUCGUUGCAAUAAUC
rnacentral:lncRNA from 10 species